UACGUAGGGUGCGAGCGUUGUCCGGAAUUAUUGGGCGUAAAGCGCACGUAGGCGGUUUGUUAUGUCGGAUGUGAAAGCCCUUGGCUCAACUGAGGAAGUGCAUCCGAAACUGGCAAGCUAGAGUAUGUAAGAGGGUCGCGGAAUUCCCGGUGUAGAGGUGAAAUUCGUAGAUAUCGGGAGGAACACCGGUGGCGAAGGCGGCGACCUGGGACAAUACUGACGCUGAGGUGCGAAAGCGUGGGGAGCAAACAGG
rnacentral:rRNA from 1 species